UAUAUUUCAGACAUGCGUCAAAGAUAUCUAGCCCAUUCCCAAGAAUGGUCAAGUCCAUUCUUUAUAUAGGUUGAUACUCAAGUCCAUUCUUUAUAUAGGUUGAUACUCUAGUAGCCAGCGUCUAUAACUAAUAUGGUCUAGUGUAUACAACCACCUACCUCAACACAAGUCAUGUGCACUCUCACACCACAUGUAGCUAUUAUCACCAUGUGCACUCCUACACCGCACACAAUUACCAUGUCAUGAGCUCUCCCGCACUGUAUACCACCAUUACCGUCAUGUGCACUCCCAC
rnacentral:lncRNA from 1 species